AUUCAAAUAGCUUAUGUAUAGAGUGUCACACUGAAGCUGUGGAGGAAAAUUUUUAUUUUUUGAAUAC
rnacentral:tRNA from 1 species